GUGUAGUAUGAAAGGAGAGAAGGUUAGCACUCCCCUUGACAAGGAUGGAAGAGGCUCUCGGGCCUGACAACACCAAAUUAUAAACAACCCCAGUGUCCACCAACAAAGAAAAGGAUUGACAAAUUGCUGUAU